AUGACUCACAAUCACAACAAGAUAGUAACAGAAGUGAAGAAAGAGUGGUGCGAAAUUUACUGUCCUUUGCCUUAUUUUACUGAUCUACCGAAUCUAAUUCACCGACGUGUCAGUCGGUCACAUUUUACACAUUGUGAAACCAAUUCCCUCUCUCUUGCAUUUUGCAAUUUGGCAUCAGUCGGUUAUCACUUGGUCAAUUACCCUAAGCUUCGACAACUAUUGAGGAAAGAGCUUCAUUUUUUUUCUGCUUCUAGUAACUAA